GACGAACGCUGGCGGCGUGCUUAACACAUGCAAGUCGAACGAUGAAGCCCAGCUUGCUGGGCGGAUUAGUGGCGAACGGGUGAGUAAUACGUGAGUAACCUGCCUUUAACUCUGGGAUAAGCCUUGGAAACGGGGUCUAAUACCGGAUACGACCAACCCUCGCAUGAGGUGUUGGUGGAAAGGGAUUUUGUACUGGUUUUAGAUGGGCUCACGGCCUAUCAGCUUGUUGGUGAGGUAACGGCUCACCAAGGCGACGACGGGUAGCCGGCCUGAGAGGGUGACCGGCCACACUGGGACUGAGACACGGCCCAGACUCCUACGGGAGGCAGCAGUGGGGAAUAUUGCACAAUGGGCGCAAGCCUGAUGCAGCGACGCCGCGUGAGGGAUGACGGCCUUCGGGUUGUAAACCUCUUUCAGCAGGGGAGAAGCGAAA
rnacentral:rRNA from 1 species